rnacentral:rRNA from 1 species
GCCUACGAUCAUACUGCUUUGAAAGCACCGCAUCCCGUCAGAUCUGCGCAGUUAAACAACGUUAGGCCGCAGCGGAUAGUUUACCAUGGGGUGCCGUAAGCG